CCUACGGGAGGCAGCAGUGGGGAAUAUUGCACAAUGGGCGAAAGCCUGAUGCAGCGACGCCGCGUGGGGGAUGAAGGCCUUCGGGUUGUAAACUUCUUUUGCUCUGAACAAGGCGCACCGUGGGGUGUGUUGAGUGUAGGGGUUGAUUAGCGCCGGCUAACUACGUGCCAGCAGCCGCGGUAAUACGUAGGGCGCGAGCGUUGUCCGGAAUUAUUGGGCGUAAAGGGCUUGUAGGUGGCUGGUUGCGUCUGUCGUGAAAGCUCAUGGCUUAACUGUGGGUUUGCGGUGGGUACGGGCUGGCUUGAGUGCAGUAGGGGAGGCUGGAAUUCCUGGUGUAGCGGUGGAAUGCGCAGAUAUCAGGAGGAAUACCGGUGGCGAAGGCGGGUCUCUGGGCUGUUACUGACACUGAGGAGCGAAAGCAUGGGGAGCGAACAGGAUUAGAUACCCUGGUAGUCCAUGCUGUAAACGGUGGGAACUGGGUGUGGGGGGCUUUUUUGUCUUCUGCGUCGUAGCUAACGCGUUAAGUUCCCCGCCUGGGGAGUACGGUCGCAAGGCUAAAACUCAAAGGAAUUGACGGGGGCCCGCACAAGCGGCGGAGCAUGCGGAUUAAUUCGAUGCAACGCGAAGAACCUUACCAAGGCUUGACAUGCACUGGACCGAUCCAGAGAUGGGUUUUCCUUUUUGGCUGGUGUGCAGGUGGUGCAUGGUUGUCGUCAGCUCGUGUCGUGAGAUGUUGGGUUAAGUCCCGCAACGAGCGCAACCCUUGUCCUAUGUUGCCAGCAAGUUGUGUUGGGGACUCGUGGGAGACUGCCGGGGUUAACUCGGAGGAAGGUGGGGAUGACGUCAAAUCAUCAUGCCCCUUAUGUCUUGGGCUUCACGCAUGCUACAUUGGCGUCUACAGAGGGUUGCGAUACCGUAAGGUGGGGCGAAUCUCUUAAAGGGCGUCUUGGUUCGGAUCGGGGUCUGCAACUCGGCCCCGUGAAGGUGGAGUCGCUAGUAAUCGCAGAUCAGCAACGCUGCGGUGAAUACGUUCUCGGGCCUUGUACACACCGCCCGUCACGUCACGAAAGUUGGUAACACUCGAAGCUUGUGGCCUAACUCUUUUUGAGGGGGAGCGGGUGAAGGUGGGGCUAGCGAUUGGGACGAAGUCGUAACAAGGUAGCCGUACCGGAAGGUGCGGCUG
rnacentral:rRNA from 1 species